rnacentral:miRNA from 1 species
GGCGGCGGUCCGAGCAGCUCCC